GAAGGUAUGGCUCACUUGGUAGAGCACUUGCCUAGCAAGCAAAAGGCCUUGAGUUCAAGGGCCAGUACCGUUA
rnacentral:tRNA from 1 species